UAGAGUUUGAUCCUGGCUCAAGACGAGCGCUGGCGGCGCGCCUAACACAUGCAAGUCGAACGAGCGAGAGGAGGUUUACUUUCUCAAGCGAGUGGCGAACGGGUGAGUAACGCGUGAGGAACCUGCCUCAAAGAGGGGGACAACAGUUGGAAACGACUGCUAAUACCGCAUAAGCCCACGACCCGGCAUCGGGUAGAGGGAAAAGGAGCAAUCCGCUUUGAGAUGGCCUCGCGUCCGAUUAGCUAGUUGGUGAGGUAACGGCCCACCAAGGCGACGAUCGGUAGCCGGACUGAGAGGUUGAACGGCCACAUUGGGACUGAGACACGGCCCAGACUCCUACGGGAGGCAGCAGUGGGGAAUAUUGCACAAUGGGGGAAACCCUGAUGCAGCGACGCCGCGUGGAGGAAGAAGGUCUUCGGAUUGUAAACUCCUGUUGUUGAGGAAGAUAAUGACGGUACUCAACAAGGAAGUGACGGCUAACUACGUGCCAGCAGCCGCGGUAAAACGUAGGUCACAAGCGUUGUCCGGAAUUACUGGGUGUAAAGGGAGCGCAGGCGGGAAGACAAGUUGGAAGUGAAAUCCAUGGGCUCAACCCAUGAACUGCUUUCAAAACUGUUUUUCUUGAGUAGUGCAGAGGUAGGCGGAAUUCCCGGUGUAGCGGUGGAAUGCGUAGAUAUCGGGAGGAACACCAGUGGCGAAGGCGGCCUACUGGGCACCAACUGACGCUGAGGCUCGAAAGUGUGGGUAGCAAACAGGAUUAGAUACCCUGGUAGUCCACACUGUAAACGAUGAUUACUAGGUGUUGGAGGAUUGACCCCUUCAGUGCCGCAGUUAACACAAUAAGUAAUCCACCUGGGGAGUACGACCGCAAGGUUGAAACUCAAAGGAAUUGACGGGGGCCCGCACAAGCAGUGGAGUAUGUGGUUUAAUUCGACGCAACGCGAAGAACCUUACCAAGUCUUGACAUCCUGCGACGGUGCUGGAAACAGUACUUUCCUUCGGGACGCAGAGACAGGUGGUGCAUGGUUGUCGUCAGCUCGUGUCGUGAGAUGUUGGGUUAAGUCCCGCAACGAGCGCAACCCUUAUGUCAGUUACUACGCAAGAGGACUCUGGCCAGACUGCCGUUGACAAAACGGAGGAAGGUGGGGAUGACGUCAAAUCAUCAUGCCCUUUAUGACUUGGGCUACACACGUACUACAAUGGCGUUAAACAAAGAGAAGCAAGACCGCGAGGUGGAGCAAAACUCAGAAACAACGUCCCAGUUCGGACUGCAGGCUGCAACUCGCCUGCACGAAGUCGGAAUUGCUAGUAAUCGCAGAUCAGCAUGCUGCGGUGAAUNC
rnacentral:rRNA from 1 species